UACGAAGGGGGCUAGCGUUGCUCGGAAUCACUGGGCGUAAAGGGUGCGUAGGCGGGUCUUUUAAGUCAGGGGUGAAAUCCUGGAGCUCAACUCCAGAACUGCCUUUGAUACUGGGAGGCUCGAGUCCGGGAGAGGUGAGUGGAACUGCGAGUGUAGAGGUGAAAUUCGUAGAUAUUCGCAAGAAUACCAGUGGCGAAGGCGGCUCACUGGCCCGGUACUGACGCUGAGGUGCGAAAGCGUGGGGAGCAAACAGGG
rnacentral:rRNA from 1 species